UACGUAGGGAGCAAGCGUUGUCCGGAAUCAUUGGGCGUAAAGCGCGCGUAGGUGGCUUCAUAAGUCCGUUGUGAAAGUCAAAGGCUCAACCUUUGAAAGCCGAUGGAUACUGUGGAGCUAGAGUACGGAAGAGGCGAGUGGAAUUCCUGGUGUAGCGGUGAAAUGCGCAGAUAUCAGGAAGAACACCCGUGGCGAAGGCGGCUCUCUGGGACGGUACUGACGCUGAGACGCGAAAGCGUGGGGAGCAAACAGG
rnacentral:rRNA from 1 species